ensembl:lncRNA
GAUUUCUACAGGAGUUAACGCUCCUUUAUCCUCGCUAGCCAGGACACCCUUCCCACACCUUGUAUUGAAGUGGUAGUCGCGCAGUCGCCUCGGAUGCUUUGCAACCCCGUGGACUGUAGCCCACCAGGCUCCUCUGUCCAUGGGAUUUCCCAGGCAAGAAUACUGGAGCGGGCUGCCAUCCCCUUCUCCAGGGGAUCUUCCUGACCCAGUGUUUCCUGUAAGAAGACUCAAACAAGAUAUGUAUUUCAGACCUAGGAGGAAAAGCCUGGUUUCUUCCAAGGAACUGAACCAAAUAUUUUAGAUCACAGGGAAGGAAUGUUCUGCUUUUCGUGGCUGAAACAGAGCCUGGGGAAAUGGCCUUGCUACCUUCUGAUAGAUAGUUCCAGUAAGCCCUGCUCCCUAAUGGCCACUCACUCUGCCUGAUCCCCAGGAUCUGCUCCAUGAAGCCUCAACUCCACUUAAUAUAAAGCAAACAAAGCUCCUAUGCUCUUACAAGAACAGAACUUCCUCCUAAUUGUGUAAACUCAAGUUCUUUAUAAAAUAAUCAGAAAUCUUCUACUAUUUUAUAGCAUUGGCUACCCUAUGUUAAAACAGCAACACAUUAAGAAUACAUUAUAU